AGGAGAUUAGAUAUAAUGUUGUGAAGAGGCUUCAGUAACUCAAAGCCAACAGUAGAACAAUUUUAUUCACAUGCUUUUUCAGUAAAUGAACGCAGUGAUGCAAAAAUUAGACAGAAAUAUUAACUAUUAUUAUCCUAUUAUUAUUAUUAUUAUUAUUAUUAUUAUUAUUAUUAUUAUUAUUAUUAUUAUUAUUAUUAUUAUUAUUAUUAUUAUUAUUACGCUAUCUGUUAUUUUCUAGGAAUAGUCAGUUCACAGUUGCCAUACUUUAGGUAUUAUAUACAUAAAAAGAUGUGACUGAAAGUGUGUUAUUACAUUUUUGUUUAAAAAGAAACCACGGAGACGUUUUCUUUUCUAGAUGACCUUUAUUGUGAAAACACUGACUAUACUAACUGGCUCAAAAGGUUCAAAUAUUACAUUAGCGUUCAUUUUAAACACAAUUUACACAUUGCUAGAGCGAAGGAAUGAAGGGGCAAAUGUCAAAUAAAUAAAUAAAUAAAUAAAUAAAUAAAUAAAUAAAUAAAUAAAUAAAUGUAUCACCCCUAUAGGCCCCCAUACAGGGGAGGAUUUAUGAAUCGAAUAAAUGGCGCCCAGACUUCUUCACCUGGCUGCUUGUGCGCAUGCUCACACGCGAUGCUCACAAACGGAAUGACGGGACUAAUUGGAGUGGCGCGAAUACUUCGGCCAAACGUUUAGCAACUUCUUUCAGCUACAGACAUCUUCGAGUGACAGACAUCUAAGUUCCUGGCCGAAGGGGGCAAUUUCACGAUUGGCCCCCGGUGGAUUGAACAUACGACCCACGGGCGACACUACCUGUUCCACCACUACCCCGGAUGGCGCCACUCCUGGAAGGGUGACCUUCCCAUUUGGAGCUGAGGAGUGUUUCAGAAAGCCAAUACAGCUGCCACGAUUUCAUUCACACAGACGAGCAGAGAGACAGAUCCAAAGAGACAGGAAUGAGAAGCCUAGCUUGGAUUCUGUACACAUUCCUUAAUAUCUGACCUUGUGUGUGUGAUUGUGUGUGUGUGAAGGAUGGACAGUAGAUAUUGGAUCAAGUACUUGAUACUACUCAGUAAUACUUAGCCAUAUCCAGAUUUCAUAAUAAAUUUGAAAUAAUAAAAUAUUGCUAGCUUGUA
rnacentral:lncRNA from 1 species